GACGAACGCUGGCGGCGCGCUUAACACAUGCAAGUCGAGCGAGAACCAGGGCUUCGGCCCUGGGGACAGCGGCGAACGGGUGAGUAACACGUGGGUAAUCUGCCCUCGGCACCGGAAUAGCCCGGGGAAACCCGGAUUAAUGCCGGAUGGCCCCUUCACCUCGCGAGGUGUCGGGAAAAGGUAGCUUCGGCCUCUGGCCGAGGAUGAGCCCGCGGCGGAUUAGCUUGUUGGCGGGGUAACGGCCCACCAAGGCGACGAUCCGUAGCUGGUCUGAGAGGACGAUCAGCCACACUGGGACUGAGACACGGCCCAGACUCCUACGGGAGGCAGCAGUGGGGAAUCUUGCGCAAUGGGCGAAAGCCUGACGCAGCGACGCCGCGUGAGGGAAGAAGGCCUUCGGGUCGUAAACCUCUUUCAGGAGGGACGAAGCUACUCGGGUGAAUAGCCCAGAGGGUGACGGUACCUCCAGAAGAAGCCCCGGCUAACUACGUGCCAGCCGCCGCGGUAAUAC
rnacentral:rRNA from 1 species